rnacentral:rRNA from 1 species
GACGUAGGGCGCGAGCGUUGUCCGGAUUUAUUGGGCGUAAAGAGCUCGUAGGCGGCUUGUCGCGUCGUCCGUGAAAACUUGGGGCUCAACCCCAAGCUUGCGGUCGAUACGGGCAGGCUCGAGUUCGGUAGGGGAGACUGGAAUUCCUGGUGUAGCGGUGAAAUGCGUAGAUAUCUGGAGGAACACCGGUGGCGAAGGCGGCAUUCUGGACCGACAUUGACGCUGAGGAGCGAAAGCCAGGGGAGCAAACGGG